rnacentral:rRNA from 1 species
GGGUGAGUAACACGUGGAUAACCUACCUAUAAGACUGGGAUAACUUCGGGAAACCGGGGCUAAUACCGGAUAAUAUUAUGAACCGCAUGGUUCAAAAGUGAAAGACGGUCUUGCUGUCACUUAUAGAUGGAUCCGCGCUGCAUUAGCUAGUUGGUAAGGUAACGGCUUACCAAGGCAACGAUGCAUAGCCGACCUGAGAGGGUGAUCGGCCACACUGGAACUGAGACACGGUCCAG